rnacentral:RNase_P_RNA from 1 species
CCAGACGGCCGGGCAGUCGCUGGUAUGGCUCACAAGGCUAUGCUGGAGGAAAGUCCGGGCUCCAUGGAAACAAGGCGGCGGAUAACGUCCGCCCGGCGUGAGCCGAGGGAAAGUGCCACAGAGAGCAGACCGCUCCGGAUUCGUCCGGAGUAAGGGUGAAAGGGUGGGGUAAGAGCCCACCGCGGGGGCGGUAACGUCCCUGGCAUGGUAAACCCCGCCUGGAGCAAGACCGAAUAGGGGGUGCGCAUGGGCCGUUUCCAGCCCGCGCCCCGGGUGUGUCGCGUGAGGGUCCUGGCGACAGGGCUCCCAGAGGAAUGACUGCACAGGCGCCGCAAGGCGCUGGACAGAACCCGGCUUACAGGCCGUCUGGUCAG